rnacentral:tRNA from 1 species
GAGGUUGUGGCUCAGAGGUAUUGUGCUCACCUAGCAUGUGAGAGGCCCUGGGUUCUAUCCUCAGCACCACA